GGAAGGUGUCCGUUGUACGGUGCGAGGGUGUGCUUAAAAGUUUUAAAAGAAACAAGUUGCGUGUAAGUUUGUUUUAUACUGGAAAAGCUGUUUUGAUGAGCGUAAUGACCCGAGUUUCGAUGGAGUUGAGGAAGAUGGAUGACAGGUUUCCCCAUGUGGCGAAGAAGAGUUAUCACUAUUCAUUCACCGCCCCACCUACGGCCCAUCAAAGCAGCUGGAAAACAGGACGGCAUGGACUAGCCGCUCGGGUCGUGGAAACCCUUGGAAGGGAAAAGGGCAGCAGCAUCCCCUCCCUGCGGCCUGGUACCGUCGCGACGCACGACGACGCGGCACCGUCGCCACACCGCACCGACCUCUUCACCAUCGUCUUCUCAGCCGGAAGGCUGAUGUUUUUCUUCGUGGACCAGUAAAUAAAAGGCCUCAAAGUGUACGGCGCCGUG